rnacentral:rRNA from 1 species
CUGUGAGCUCGAUGAGUAGGGCGGGACACGUGGUAUCCUGUCUGAAUAUGGGGGGACCAUCCUCCAAGGCUAAAUACUCCUGACUGACCGAUAGUGAACCAGUACCGUGAGGGAAAGGCGAAAAGAACCCCGGCGAGGGGAGUGAAAAAGAACCUGAAACCGUGUACGUACAAGCAGUGGGAGCACAGAGCAAUCUGUGUGACUGCGUACCUUUUGUAUAAUGGGUCAGCGACUUAUAUUCUGUAGCAAGGUUAACCGAAUAGGGGAGCCGAAGGGAAACCGAGUCUUAACUGGGCGUUAAGUUGCAGGGUAUAGACCCGAAACCCGGUGAUCUAGCCAUGGGCAGGUUGAAGGUUGGGUAACACUAACUGGAGGACCGAACCGACUAAUGUUGAAAAAUUAGCGGAUGACUUGUGGCUGGGGGUGAAAGGCCAAUCAAACCGGGAGAUAGCUGGUUCUCCCCGAAAGCUAUUUAGGUAGCGCCUCGUGAAUUCAUCUCCGGGGGUAGAGCACUGUUUCGGCAAGGGGGUCAUCCCGACUUACCAACCCGAUGCAAACUGCGAAUACCGGAGAAUGUUAUCACGGGAGACACACGGCGGGUGCUAACGUCCGUCGUGAAGAGGGAAACAACCCAGACCGCCAGCUAAGGUCCCAAAGUCAUGGUUAAGUGGGAAACGAUGUGGGAAGGCCCAGACAGCCAGGAUGUUGGCUUAGAAGCAGCCAUCAUUUAAAGAAAGCGUAAUAGCUCACUGGUCGAGUCGGCCUGCGCGGAAGAUGUAACGGGGCUAAACCAUGCACCGAAGCUGCGGCAGCGACGCUUAUGCGUUGUUGGGUAGGGGAGCGUUCUGUAAGCCUGCGAAGGUGUGCUGUGAGGCAUGCUGGAGGUAUCAGAAGUGCGAAUGCUGACAUAAGUAACGAUAAAGCGGGUGAAAAGCCCGCUCGCCGGAAGACCAAGGGUUCCUGUCCAACGUUAAUCGGGGCAGGGUGAGUCGACCCCUAAGGCGAGGCCGAAAGGCGUAGUCGAUGGGAAACAGGUUAAUAUUCCUGUACUUGGUGUUACUGCGAAGGGGGGACGGAGAAGGCUAUGUUGGCCGGGCGACGGUUGUCCCGGUUUAAGCGUGUAGGCUGGUUUUCCAGGCAAAUCCGGAAAAUCAAGGCUGAGGCGUGAUGACGAGGCACUACGGUGCUGAAGCAACAAAUGCCCUGCUUCCAGGAAAAGCCUCUAAGCAUCAGGUAACAUCAAAUCGUACCCCAAACCGACACAGGUGGUCAGGUAGAGAAUACCAAGGCGCUUGAGAGAACUCGGGUGAAGGAACUAGGCAAAAUGGUGCCGUAACUUCGGGAGAAGGCACGCUGAUAUGUAGGUGAAGCGACUUGCUCGUGGAGCUGAAAUCAGUCGAAGAUACCAGCUGGCUGCAACUGUUUAUUAAAAACACAGCACUGUGCAAACACGAAAGUGGACGUAUACGGUGUGACGCCUGCCCGGUGCCGGAAGGUUAAUUGAUGGGGUCAGCGCAAGCGAAGCUCUUGAUCGAAGCCCCGGUAAACGGCGGCCGUAACUAUAACGGUCCUAAGGUAGCGAAAUUCCUUGUCGGGUAAGUUCCGACCUGCACGAAUGGCGUAAUGAUGGCCAGGCUGUCUCCACCCGAGACUCAGUGAAAUUGAACUCGCUGUGAAGAUGCAGUGUACCCGCGGCAAGACGGAAAGACCCCGUGAACCUUUACUAUAGCUUGACACUGAACAUUGAGCCUUGAUGUGUAG